GAUGAAGAACAUAGCGAAAUGCGAUAAGUAAUGUGAAUUGCAGAAUUCAGUGAAUCAUCGAAUCUUUGAACGCACCUUGCGCCCUUUGGCUAUUCCAGAGGGCAUGCCUGUUUGAGUAUCAUGAACACCUCAACUCUCAUGGUUCUGCCAUGAUGAGCUUGGACUUUGGAGGUCUUGCUGGCCCCUGUGGUCAGCUCCUCUCAAAUGGAUCAGCUUGCCAGUGUUUGGUGGCAUCACAGGUGUGAUAACUAUCUACGCUUGUGGUUUUCCACCAGGUAACCUUCAGUGAUGGAGGUUCGCUGGAGCUCAUAAACGUCUCUCCUCAGCGAGGACAGCUUCUUGAACGUUUGAUCUCAAAUCAGGUAGGGCUACCCGCUGAACUUAAGCAUAUCAAUAAGCGGAGGA
rnacentral:misc_RNA from 1 species